CCUUGGCACUAGAAGGCGAUGAAGGACGUGACUAACUACGAUAUGCCUCGGUUAGCUGUAAGUAAGCUUACCCGGGGGUUUCCGAAUGGGGCAACCCGAUCUUAAUGAUCAUCAUCUUUUUGAAUUCAUAGAUUAGAUGAAGCAAACGCUGUGAACUGAAACAUCUCAGUAGCAGUAGGAAAGUAAAGAAAUUUCGAUUCCGUCAGUAGCGGCGAGCGAACGCGGAAGAGCCCAAACCUGGAUGCUUGCAUCCAGGGGUUGUAGGACUGAUGUUGAGUUACAAAGGUAUAAGAUAGCAGAAACAGUUGGGAAGCUGUUCCAAAGAGGGUGACAGGCCCGUAUGCGAAAUCUUGUACUCUCUAAUCAGGAUCCUGAGUACGGCCCAGCACGUGAAAUUGGGUCGGAAUCUGGGAGGACCAUCUCCCAAGGCUAAAUACUAACUAGUGACCGAUAGCGAACAAGUACCGUGAGGGAAAGGUGAAAAGAACCCCGGAAGGGGAGUGAAAUAGUUCUUGAAACCGUGUGCUUACAAGAAGUUCGAGGCCGUUAAUGGCUGAGAGCGUGCUUUUUGUAGAAUGAACCGGAGAGUUACGAUUGCGUGCAAGGUUAAGGUGCAAAGACUGGAGCCGUAGCGAAAGCGAGUCUUAAUAGGGCGAAUCAGUACGUAGUUGUAGACCCGAAACCGAGUGACCUAUCCAUGGUCAGGUUGAAGGUGGGGUAAUACCUACUGGAGGACCGAACAAGUGGGUGUUAAAAAACCCUUUGAUGAACUGUGGAUAGCGGUGAAAUUCCAAUCGAACUCGGAGAUAGCUGGUUCUAUCCGAAAUACAUUUAGGUGUAGCCUUGCAAUUAGCUUACUGGAGGUAGAGCACUAUUUGGUCUAGGGGCCCUUCAAGGGUUACCAAAAUCAGAUAAACUCCGAAUGCCAGCUAAGUAUGUGCAGGAGUCAGACGGUGAGUGAUAAGAUCCAUCGUCGAAAGGGGAACAGCCCAGAUCACCAGUUAAGGUCCCUAAAUAUAUGCUAAGUGGAAAACGUUGUGAAGGUGCAUAGACAACUAGGAGGUUGGCUCAGAAGCAGCCACCCUUUAAAGAGUGCGUAAUAGCUCACUAGUCGAGUGCUCUUGCGCGGAUAAUGUACCGGGGCUAAGCAUAUUACCGAAACUGUGGAUGCGUAAGCAUGGUAGGAUAGCGUAAUUAACGCGAUGAAGGAUGACCGUAAGGACAUGUUGGAGCGUUAACUAGUGAGAAUUCCGGUAUGAGUAGCGAAAGAUAGGUGAGAAUCCUAUCCACCGAAUGAGUAAGGUUUCCCCCGGAAGGCUCGUCCGCGGGGGGUUAGUCGGGACCUAAGG
rnacentral:rRNA from 1 species